GUAUUGUGCAGGUGUGAGGGCAGUAUUGUGUAUAGUGUGCAGGUGUGAGGGCAGUAUUGUGUAUAGUGUGCAGGUGUGAGAGCAGGUAUUGUGCAGGUGUGAGGGCAGUAUUGUGUAUAGUGUGCAGGUGUGAGAGCAGGUAUUGUGCAGGUGUGAGGGCAGUAUUGUGUAUAGUGUGCAGGUGUGAGAGCAGGUAUUGUGCAGGUGUGAGGGCAGUAUUGUGUAUAGUGUGCAGGUGUGAGAGCAGGUAUUGUGCAGGUGUGAGGGCAGUAUUGUGUAUAGUGUGCAGGUGUGAGAGCAGGUAUU